rnacentral:rRNA from 1 species
GACGAACGCUGGCGGCGUGCUUAACACAUGCAAGUCGAACGGAAAGGCCCUGCUUUUGUGGGGUGCUCGAGUGGCGAACGGGUGAGUAACACGUGAGUAACCUGCCCUUGACUUUGGGAUAACUUCAGGAAACUGGGGCUAAUACCGGAUAGGAGCUCCUGCUGCAUGGUGGGGGUUGGAAAGUUUCGGCGGUUGGGGAUGGACUCGCGGCUUAUCAGCUUGUUGGUGGGGUAGUGGCUUACCAAGGCUUUGACGGGUAGCCGGCCUGAGAGGGUGACCGGCCACAUUGGGAGUGAGAUACGGCCCAGACUCCUACGGGAGGGAGCAGUGGGGAAUAUUGCACAAUGGGCGGAAGCCUGAUGCAGCAACGCCGCGUGCGGGAUGACGGCCUUCGGGUUGUAAACCGCUUUCGCCUGUGACGAAGCGUGAGUGACGGUAAUGGGUAAAGAAGCAACGGCUAACUACGUG